AUGACCUCAAAAAUUGUUCACCCGGCUGCUGGAAAAUGGGGCGAAGAAUGACGGAAUAGAAAAGAGUAAAAAGGAAUCAUCUGCCUUCCUUAUUGAAAUGGAAUCAUCAAACUUUUCAAAAAAAUGUGAUAGCUGUCACCUGGAAGGAAU